AAGCUCUAUUCAAGAUACAAUCAUCAGCUGCUUAUAAUACACCCAAAAGGAAUCUGGGUUCACUGUGACAAGGGGCAUAAAACUAGCGGACUUCCUAUGACCAAAUACUCUUCACAU
rnacentral:snoRNA from 1 species